AUGGCUCAGGAUGAACGCUGGCGGCGUGCCUAACACAUGCAAGUCGAACGGAAACAUAACGCUACUGAGAUUCGGUCAAAGUUUGUUGUGUUUAGUGGCGGACGGGUGAGUAACGCGUGGAUAACCUGCCAUAUACAGGGGGAUAACAGUUAGAAAUGACUGCUAAUACCGCAUAAGCGCACAGUCUCGCAUGGGACAGUGUGAAAAGCCGAGACGGUAUAUGAUGGAUCCGCGUCUGAUUAGCCAGUUGGCGGGGUAACGGCCCACCAAAGCGACGAUCAGUAGCCGGCCUGAGAGGGUGAACGGCCACAUUGGGACUGAGACACGGCCCAAACUCCUACGGGAGGCAGCAGUGGGGGAUAUUGCACAAUGGGGGAAACCCUGAUGCAGCGACGCCCGCGUGAGUGAAGAAGUAUUUCGGUAUGUAAAGCUCUAUCAGCAGGGAAGAUAAUGACGGUACCUGACUAAGAAGCACCGGCUAAAUACGUGCCAGCAGCAGC
rnacentral:rRNA from 1 species